AACGAACGCUGGCGGCAGGCCUAACACAUGCAAGUCGAGCGAGGACUUCGGUCCUAGCGGCGGACGGGUGAGUAACGCGUGGGAACGUGCCCUUUGCUUCGGAAUAGCCCUGGGAAACUGGGAGUAAUACCGGAUGAGCCCUUCGGGGGAAAGAUUUAUCGGCGAAGGAUCGGCCCGCGUUGGAUUAGGUAGUUGGUGGGGUAAUGGCCUACCAAGCCGACGAUCCAUAGCGGGUUUGAGAGGAUGAUCAGCCACACUGGGACUGAGACACGGCCCAGACUCCUACGGGAGGCAGCCGUGGGGAAUCUUAGACAAUGGGGGAAACCCUGAUCGAGCCAUGCCGCGUGAGCGAUGAAGGCCUUAGGGUUGUAAAGCUCUUUCAGCUGGGAAGAUAAUGACGGUACCAGCAGAAGAAGCCCCGGCUAACUCCGUG
rnacentral:rRNA from 1 species